AGGACGAACGCUGGCGGCGUGCUUAACACAUGCAAGUCGAGCGGUAAGGCCUUUCGGGGUACACGAGCGGCGAACGGGUGAGUAACACGUGGGUGAUCUGCCCUGCACUCUGGGAUAAGCCUGGGAAACUGGGUCUAAUACCGGAUAUGACCUGCUCUCGCAUGGGGGUGGGUGGAAAGAUUUAUCGGUGCAGGAUGGGCCCGCGGCCUAUCAGCUUGUUGGUGGGGUAAUGGCCUACCAAGGCGACGACGGGUAGCCGACCUGAGAGGGUGACCGGCCACACUGGGACUGAGACACGGCCCAGACUCCUACGGGAGGCAGCAGUGGGGAAUAUGCACAAUGGGCGAAAGCCUGAUGCAGCGACGCCGCGUGAGGAUGAAGGCCUUCGGGUUGUAAACCUCUUUCAGCAGGACGAAGCGCAAGUGACGGUACUUGCAGAAGAAGCAACCGGCUAACGUACGUGCCACAGACCCGC
rnacentral:rRNA from 1 species